rnacentral:misc_RNA from 1 species
GAAAUGCGAUAAGUAAUGUGAAUUGCAGAAUUCCGUGAAUCAUUAAAUCUUUGAACGCACAUUGCGCCCUCUGGUAUUCCUAAGGGCAUGCCUGUUCGAGAAUCAGUUUAACCAUCAAACCUAUUGCGGUAAAAAACAAUAGCUUUGGAUUUGGGACUUCUCGAUAGAGAGACCCUAAUAACAUUUGUUGCCAUACUCUAGCGAGACUAUAUGAAAGGCAUGACCAUUGAACGCAAGUUCUUUAAAAUGCGUGUAGUAUCUUUAAGCUAUUGUAGAGUACAGAAAUUACACGAAGAGCUUAACACUCUUUAAGACUUGAUCUCGAAUCAGACAAGACUACCCGCUGAACUUAA